rnacentral:rRNA from 1 species
UAAGAAGAGAUGGCGACCGGCGCACGGGUGAGUAACACGUAUCCAACCUGCCGAUAACUCCGGAAUAGCCUUUCGAAAGAAAGAUUAAUACCGGAUGGCAUACGAAUAUCGCAUGAUAUUUUUAUUAAAGAAUUUCGGUUAUCGAUGGGGAUGCGUUCCGUUAGUUUGUUGGCGGGGUAACGGCCCACCAAGACUACGAUGGAUAGGGGUUCUGAGAGGAAGGUCCCCCACAUUGGAACUGAGACACGGUCCAA